rnacentral:rRNA from 1 species
AUUGAACGCUGGCGGAAUGCUUUACACAUGCAAGUCGAGCGGCAGCACGGGGGCAACCCUGGUGGCGAGCGGCGAACGGGUGAGUAACACAUCGGAACAUGCCCAGUCGUGGGGGAUAACACUUCGAAAGAAGUGCUAAUACCGCAUACGUCCUGAGGGAGAAAGCGGGGGAUCGCAAGACCUCGCGCGAUUGGAGUGGCCGAUGUCAGAUUAGCUAGUUGGUGGGGUAAAGGCCUACCAAGGCAACGAUCUGUAGCUGGUUUGAGAGGAUGAUCAGCCACGUGGGGAUGGAAGACCGGCCCCAAUUCAUGAGGGGGGCCGAUGUGGGGAAUUUUGGACAAGGGGGGAAACCCUGACCCAGCCAUUCCGCGGGAGGGAAGAAGACCUUCGGUUUUUAAAGCCCUUUCGGAAGAAACGAAAGGGGGGGCUCUACCAUAGCUUUCUAAUACGGGUACUUAAGGAAAAAGCACCGGCGGAUUACGG